rnacentral:ncRNA from 1 species
GGGAAACAAGGAUAGGGCUGGGGAGACGAGCCACCCCAAGCCCUCCUUGGGCAAAUAGGCUCA